UUUAAGGGGCCAGAAGGAGAAAGACAGCAGAGACUCAUCUCUCCUUUCUGGUUAUAGGUUCAUGUUUAACCACUAAAGGAAAGAGCAGCCUCGGCGGGCUCCGGCGUUGUCAGCCACUAUAGGAAGAGUGAUGGUCCGGGUGUUGACAGGCUCCUAAUUGGAAGGUCCCGAGAGGUUCAAAAGAACAGCCAGGCUGCCAACAGAAGGUGCCACCAACAUCUCGGGUGGUUCUCCUGCUUCAGAUAAUUGGUCAAGAAACUCCUUCACAGGUACUGGAGAGAUGGCUCGGCAGUGUAGAAACCAUUCUUGCAGAGGACUUGAGUUCUGUUCUAAGUACCCACAUCUGAUGGCUCACAACUACCUGUAACUCCAGCUCCAGGGGAGUCCACUGCCUCUGUCUGCCAAGGGCACCUGCACCAGGGGACAAAAACCCACAUUCACAUACAUCAUCUA